rnacentral:rRNA from 1 species
AUUGAACGCUGGCGGCAUGCUUUACACAUGCAAGUCGAACGGUAACAGGCCGCAAGGUGCUGACGAGUGGCGAACGGGUGAGUAAUGCAUCGGAACGUGCCCAGUCGUGGGGGAUAACUACUCGAAAGAGUAGCUAAUACCGCAUACGAUCUAUGGAUGAAAGCGGGGGACCGUAAGGCCUCGCGCGAUUGGAGCGGCCGAUGUCAGAUUAGGUAGUUGGUGGGGUAAAGGCUCACCAAGCCAACGAUCUGUAGCUGGUCUGAGAGGACAACCAGCCACACGGGGACUGAGAAACGGCCAGACUCCUACGGGAGGCAGCAGUGGGGAAUUUUGGACAAUGGGCGCAAGCCUGAUCCAGCAAUGCCGCGUGCAGGAAGAAGGCCUGCGGGUUGUAAACUGCUUUUGUACGGAACGAAACGGCUCUGGUUAAUACCCGGGGCUAAUGACGGUACCGUAAGAAUAAGCACCGGCUAACUACGU